AAUCGUAUUCAAAAUUGUAGAAUUAGAUUCAGAAAAAAAUUCUAAGACAGCACUUUUUCUUUUUUUUAUGAAAUUCUAAAUAGUUUUAAAAUAAAUUCAAAUUAAAUGAAUUGAAAAGUCACGAUAAAUGUAAAGCAUUUGAACACCAUUUUUGUCAUGCGGCAAACUUCUCUAUAAAAAAAGUAAACAGAAGGAAUGACUGACUUCUGCCUAAAUGUUAUGAAGAAACAUUUAUCAAUUAUUAGAGAAAAUCACUUGAAGGGCAAAAGCUAUUUUUAUUUUCAAUUACAGGAAAGAAUUUAAAUUGCAAAAAGAUGUGCACAUGAAAUAAAUAUAUAAAUAAAAUAUUGGACUUUGUAAGGGAAGGAAUUUACCAUUACAUGAUUGAAAGAUAAAACAUAAAUAUGAAACUGAAAUUAAAGAAUUGAGAGAAAAAAUGGAUCGUAAGAACUGUAAAAUAAAGAUAUGCAGAAAUUCAAUGUAGAGAAGA